rnacentral:rRNA from 1 species
AUGUGUGAUGCUAGUGAUUAUGCUGUAGGUGUUGUUCUAGGGCAAAGAGUUGAUAAUAAAUUAAAUGUUAUUCAAUAUGCUAGUAAAACUCUAGACAAUGCUCAGAGAAAUUAUGCUACUACUGAAAAAGAAUUCUUAGCAGUUGUAUUUCCUUGUGAUAAGUUCAGACCUUAUAUUGUUGAUUCCAAAGUAACUAUUCACAUGGAUCAUGCUGAUAUUAAAUAUCUUAUGGAAAAGAAAGAUGCUAAACCUAGACUUAUUAGAUGGGUUCUCUUGCUACAAGAAUUUGAUUUGCAUAUUAUUGAUAGAAAGGGAGCUGAGAACCCCGUUGCAGACAACUUGUCUAGGUUAGAAAAUGUUCUUGAUGACCCACUACCUAUUGAUGAUAGCUUUCCUGAUGAAUAA